rnacentral:rRNA from 1 species
GUGGGGAAUCUUGCGCAAUGGGCGAAAGCCUGACGCAGCCAUGCCGCGUGGAUGAUGAAGGUCUUAGGAUUGUAAAAUCCUUUCACCGGUGAAGAUAAUGACUGUAGCCGGAGAAGAAGCCCCGGCUAACUUCGUGCCAGCAGCCGCGGUAAUACGAAGGGGGCUAGCGUUGCUCGGAUUUACUGGGCGUAAAGGGCGCGUAGGCGGACAUUUAAGUCAGGGGUGAAAUCCCGGGGCUCAACCUCGGAACUGCCUUUGAUACUGGGUGUCUUGAGUAUGAGAGAGGUGUGUGGAACUCCGAGUGUAGAGGUGAAAUUCGUAGAUAUUCGGAAGAACACUAGUGGCGAAGGCGACACACUGGCUCAUUACUGACGCUGAGGCGCGAAAGCGUGGGGAGCAAACAGGAUUAGAAACCCCAGUAGUCC